UACAAUAAAGACAGAAAUCAUUUUCAGA
rnacentral:sRNA from 1 species